rnacentral:lncRNA from 1 species
CUUUCCUCACUAGUUAGUGGUGCCUACUGCCUAGGCAUCGUCUGAUUUCUGGAAUUAGACAGCUUUUACAAAGUGAAGCUUGAAUGUUUUGCUUCAAUUUUUAUUUGUUAAUUUAUUUUUCCCUGUUUCUCUCGGUCUGAAAACUUGUCAUUACAUUUAAAUCAAAGCUGGAGACGGAGGUACAUGUGUCUUGUACAUUUUGGGAAAAGUUGAUCCACCGAGUUUUUGUUUUUCCUCUUUAAUUUAAUAAUAACAAUAAAACGGAUGAUGGAUCAGGAUCUGCCACUUUGAGUUGAAAUUAGUGAUUCGACCCGAAUGUGGAAUAAAGGAAGGGGGAUCUGUGACGCAUGAUGGAGCUGUGCAAUGUAAGUUGAGUGUGCCCAUUACAUUAAAAAAAUGCUGCAUUUGUAGUCCAGUGGUCGGUUGGUCGGUCGGCCAGUACGGCUUUGGCAAAGGAUCCGUCCUCAAUCGACAAUUUAUUCGUCCACUACGAUUUUAAUAUAAUUUUACUAUUUGUCGUACGUAUGCUAUUGUGGUCCUUCAAAUCUUCUCCUACGCCCUUCCCUUGGGUUCCCUACGGCUCUUGCAUAGACUAAUCAUUCAUGAUUGGUCAAGUUUUAUAUCAAGUGCAUGUAUUGAUGUGAUUGGAGCAAACUUUUCAACUAAGGCACUCGAAAUCUUUUUUGAGUGAGUGGACGAUUUCAGGAUCUUUCCGCCGGCCUCUGAUAUGUGCACUCCAAAUAGAAUGUAAGUUGGUUUCAUGCUUUGAUGAUUAGGAAGGUAUAAAUUCCUCAUUACUCAUUACAGGUUAAUUUUAUCCUUUAUUCCCACGCUAAUCUUGCAUCUUUUCAUACCCACCAAAAGCGUAAAGGAAAAUAUAUCAAUUAGACCUUUUUAGAUUUUUUUUUCCUCUCUAUCAAUAGACUUGAUAAUUUAAUAAUUUAAUGGUUUGUUACCUUUCUCUACAGCUUUCCCACGUAUCAAUAUAACUUAUAACGUAAGAUAGUAGUGGGAAAUGAAGAGAAAUGGGUGGAUAUAUGAAGUUGGGAUCUGUUGUGUUCCAGCUCAAGAAUGGUGUGAUUGUUCUCUGUUGAAUGGAGCUAUUUGUAUAUUCCAUGGAAGAUUCCUCAGGCCCUAUCGGUAGUGCUGUUCCUUUCCCAUCAUUUUCAAAUCCUGUACUACUUAAAAAUUUAAUUUUAUUGGUUCAUCUGUUUCCCACCUACACAGUAAUUGAUUCACUAAUCGAUAACGCCAUUAACAUCUGUGUUGAAUUUCUCUUUUAGUUGGGCUUUAUUAGGAUUCAAAUUCGAAACUUUACGAUUUUAAAGACACCUCGGUACUAAUGAGUUACAAUUUAUUAAUAAAUAACACCUUAUUAUAAAUUCAAAACAUAAAUAUAUAAAUCAUUCCAUAUAAAAAUUAUAAAAUUCACACAUUUAUGUAUUAAGUUUAUAAUAAAUCAAGUCUAUCUAAUUUUAUUUUAUUUUUUUUUCACUUUUAAACGAGCGAGUAAAUUAUGGCGUAACAGUUUAACUAAUAGUCUGCCUAACAGGAUAUGCGGUGCCUAUCCACUAAUAUAUAUGAAAUAACAAGAAAAGAAAAAGAUGAUGAGAGAGAGAGAGAGAGAGAGAGAGAGAGAGAGAGAGGAGAGCAUUAUUGGAUAAGAUAGAAGCGUAUUUGGAGACGGCAAGAUUAACCCCGCAAUAUGAUAAUGUUUAUAUCGUUGACUCUGUCUUCACAAAUUUAUACUUCAAAUUCAUUCACUUCCUAUAACUUAGUCCAGC